rnacentral:rRNA from 1 species
CGACGUGUCUACUAGUCCUUGGGUCCCCUUGAGGACCUAGUGACGCCAUGUCUAACGCAAUUAAGUAGACCGCCUGGCGAGUACCGUCCGCAAGGUUGAAACCUCUUAUAGUGUAUUUACCGGGGUCCCGCACAAUCGGUGGAGCAUGUGCGUUAAUUCGAUGCUACGCGAAGAACCUUACCUGGUCUUGACAUAUCUAGAAUCCUGCAGAGAUGCGGGAGUGCCUUCGGGAAUUAGAAGUACAGGUGCUGCAUGGCUGUCGUCAGCUCGUGUCGUGAGAUGUUGGGUUAAGUCCCGCAACGAGCGCAACCCUUUUCCUUAGUUACCACGGGUUAAGCCGGGAACUCUAAGGAUACUGCCAGUGACAAACUGGAGGAAGCGGGGACGACGUCAAGUCAUCAUGGCCCUUACGACCAGGGCUACACACGUGCUACAAUGGUAGGUACAGAGGGCAGCUACACAGCGAUGUGAUGCGAAUCUCAAAAAGCCUAUCGUAGUCCAGAUUGGAGUCUGCAACUCGACUCCAUGAAGUAGGAAUCGCUAGUAAUCGCGGAUCAGAAUGCCGCGGUGAAUACGUUCCCGGGCCUUGUACACACCGCCCGUCACACCAUGGGAGUUGAUUGCACCAGAAGUGGAUAGCCUAACCGUAAGGAAGGCGUUCACCACGGUGUGGUUGAUCGACCUGGGGUGAACCUCGUAACAAGUAGCCGUAGGGGAACCUCGGCUGGAUCCACCUCCUUAAGG